UACGUAGGGUGCGAGCGUUAAUCGGAAUUACUGGGCGUAAAGCGUGCGCAGGCGGUCUGUUAAGACCGAUGUGAAAUCCCCGGGCUUAACCUGGGAACUGCAUUGGUGACUGGCAGGCUUUGAGUGUGGCAGAGGGAGGUAGAAUUCCACGUGUAGCAGUGAAAUGCGUAGAGAUGUGGAGGAAUACCGAUGGCGAAGGCGGC
rnacentral:rRNA from 1 species